ACUAAACAGCUAGCUCAAAACACUAAAAGUAAAAUUAACAACAUAACAAAACCACCAUAAACUAACAACAAUUACUAAACCAUUCGACCACCCCAGUACGGGCGACAGAAAAGGACUAUGAAGCCAUAGAUAAA
rnacentral:rRNA from 1 species